AAAAAUAGAAAAAAAAUCAUAGUUCUUUGGUUUGUUCCUGCCAACCUACUUAAGUCCUUUUCUUGCUCCUCUGCUUGAAAAAAAAAACAUUGAGCCGGAUAGCAGUGAGUGUUCAGUUCUGGCUUGGGCAAUGAGCAAUUUAUUUCCAGUAAAAUGCCCUGUGAAAAUGGUUGGCAGACACCAGGCUUUGUUUUCUGUUGAGGAACAGAAACAAAGUGUAAGUAGUGUUCUUAUCAAGACUCCCAAUCUCGUGUCAUUUAUCCAAAACUCUCUCAGCUUGACCUCCUGCACUGUAAUCAUUAGAUCUUGCAUUACCCCUUUAUUAAAGGAUAAAUCUUAAAGUUCAACUUUGUCAGCAGCGUUUUUUUUCUCCCAUGUGUGUCUCCCCUUUCAAUGUCUGACAGUUGAAAGGUCUCUGUAGCAUAAUUUUAUAAUUUUAUUAGUUUCAUAGUUACUGUGUCAAGGUUCAUCUCACCUCAUUUAACACACUAAAUCUCAACAAAGAAUUGUAUUAAAACCUUUUAGAAACUUCUUGCUGAACUAGCUCUAAAAUACUUCGUAUUUUUCUGAAAAACCCCAAUAGAAAACCCUUAAUGUAGCAGCAUAAAUGGUACGCUGCCACUUUAAGGUCUAUUUCGGCUGCUGCAUAUAAGCAGGUACCCACCUGCCACGAAGUUGCUUGCGUCAUGACGUCGUAUCAUUUUGGUUCCUGUGUCUGCUGAACUGUGCUGGGUGAGCGUGGCUGUUUCUUUGUUUGUUAGCUUUAAUCUUAGUUAUUAAUGUAGUUUGGUCUGCUCUGUUUAGCUUCUUUCGUUGCUCCUCCAAAACCUGGACUGAUCUGUUUGUGUUUGCUUGGUGCUGGGAAGGUAAGGGCUAGCGUGGCUAGAUAACAUCCACCCCAUAUAAAUAAAGCCUUCACACAGCAUUUUGUUACAGCUGCGCUGCAUAGGCGGAAUUGUGACUCCGUUUAUUUGGCAGCCUGGUAAUGAAACAGCUUCCUGAUGAGUCUUUGACCACCAUAAUACUGGAUUUGACACUCGCUGCUGUUUUGCCUAUAAAGAACUGUUUCGCCUAAAGAAAUUCUUAAAAGGACCUAUCUGGACUUUCCCCCUGCUGCCGGGAGCAUUGAUGACACUACCAUCCGGAAAAAGUGCAAUAUUGUAGUGCUAUUGUACCACUGUUUUACUCAUAUCGUUUCAUUUUUGCCUUUCUUUUAGGGACUGAGGCUUCUGUGGUGGCGGUGGUGAUCCCUGGUGGCGGUGUCUUGUUUUGUGUGUUUUGUUGGAGCACCUUCUUUUUUUGUUUGCCGUGUUUUUGUAGUGUCCAGGGUGAUCCCUUUUCUUCACUGGACGUUGCCCCUUUUCUCACCACUCUUCCCCCCCCCACUGAAUUUCUUGGCAGACCCGGGUCACCUCCGCCACUACGUCCUCCUUCUCCAAAUCUCCAUGAAGUCUGAGGUUCCAACGGCGACUGUAGCGCUCCAGCUCGGUAACACGAAUCGAACAGGCUGUGGUGUUUUUUUCAGUGUUCCUUCGUGACACCGUGGUGCUUCCUAGUGAAGUCUCACUUCUGGCCAUCUGGAUUCUCUUCCCUCGUAACGCCGUGGAUUGUUACCCACUGGUUGCCCGAGUUCUCCUUCACCUCCACAGUUCUGGAUUUCAAACGUUAUCUGGAUUAUCUGGCUGGCAGUCGGAUUACUUCUCUGCAGCUCUACACAUCUGAAGUUACCUGUCCGCCCUCCAACGCAGUCUCCACAGCUGGAACCUGGAUAACUCCACAACAUCCACAAACAAACGGGGACCACAGAUCCACAGAGCUCACCGCUUGGCUGAAGAAAUGUACAGAUGACUCCGUGAACCCGCCUGCAAGGACUCAACUACUCCAUAAACCACCUUUGUAAAAUAAACUAAUUUAAGUGAUUUCCUGUUCUACUGGUGUUCUGCAUGUGGGUUAAGAAAUUAGAAGCCACCAUGACAGAACACUCAGGCCAACAGACUAGGCCUGCAGAAGCACUCAGGAGGACAUUAGCUAAACAACAUUCCCUCAUUCAGAACCAUGAUUCCGCUUU